CAAGUCGAGCGGUACAGAAAGUAGCUUGCUACUUUGCUGACGAGCGGCGGACGGGUGAGUAAUGCUUGGGAACAUGCCUUGAGGUGGGGGACAACAGUUGGAAACGACUGCUAAUACCGCAUAAUGUCUACGGACCAAAGGGGGCUUCGGCUCUCGCCUUUAGAUUGGCCCAAGUGGGAUUAGCUAGUUGGUGAGGUAAUGGCUCACCAAGGCGACGAUCCCUAGCUGGUUUGAGAGGAUGAUCAGCCACACUGGGACUGAGACACGGCCCAGACUCCUACGGGAGGCAGCAGUGGGGAAUAUUGCACAAUGGGCGCAAGCCUGAUGCAGCCAUGCCGCGUGUGUGAAGAAGGCCUUCGGGUUGUAAAGCACUUUCAGUCAGGAGGAAAGGUUAGUAGUUAAUACCCGUUAGCUGUGACGUUACUGACAGAAGAAGCACCGGCUAACUCCGUGCCAGCAGCCGCGGUAAUACGGAGGGUGCGAGCGUUAAUCGGAAUUACUGGGCGUAAAGCGUACGCAGGCGGUUUGUUAAGCGAGAUGUGAAAGCCCCGGGCUCAACCUGGGAACUGCAUUUCGAACUGGCAAACUAGAGUGUGAUAGAGGGUGGUAGAAUUUCAGGUGUAGCGGUGAAAUGCGUAGAGAUCUGAAGGAAUACCGAUGGCGAAGGCAGCCACCUGGGUCAACACUGACGCUCAUGUACGAAAGCGUGGGGAGCAAACGGGAUUAGAUACCCCGGUAGUCCACGCCGUAAACGAUGUCUACUAGAAGCUCGGAGCCUCGGUUCUGUUUUUCAAAGCUAACGCAUUAAGUAGACCGCCUGGGGAGUACGGCCGCAAGGUUAAAACUCAAAUGAAUUGACGGGGGCCCGCACAAGCGGUGGAGCAUGUGGUUUAAUUCGAUGCAACGCGAAGAACCUUACCUACACUUGACAUACAGAGAACUUACCAGAGAUGGUUUGGUGCCUUCGGGAACUCUGAUACAGGUGCUGCAUGGCUGUCGUCAGCUCGUGUUGUGAGAUGUUGGGUUAAGUCCCGCAACGAGCGCAACCCCUAUCCUUAGUUGCUAGCAGGUAAUGCUGAGAACUCUAAGGAGACUGCCGGUGAUAAACCGGAA
rnacentral:rRNA from 1 species